rnacentral:rRNA from 1 species
AGCAGCCGCGGUAAUUCCAGCUCCAAUAGCGUAUAUUAAAGUUGUUGCAGUUAAAAAGCUCGUAGUUGAAUUUCGGGAUCAAUACGUCGGUCAUGCUUUUUGGUACGAACUGGCGUCAUUGGUUUCUCCUUUCUGACGAACCAUGAUGUCAUUAAUUUGGUGUUAUGGGGAGUUGGGACUGUUACUUUGAAAAAUUAGAGUGUUUAAAGCAGGCAUAAAGCUUGAAUACAUUAGCAUGGAAUAAUGAAAUAGGACGUUUGAUCCUAUUUUGUUGGUUUCUAGGAUCAACGUAAUGAUUAAUAGGGAUAGUUGGGGGCAUUAGUAUUCAAUUGUCAGAGGUGAAAUUCUUGGAUUUAUUGAAGACUAACUACUGCGAAAGCAUUUGCCAAGGAUGUUUUCAUUAAUCAAGAACGAAAGUUAGGGGAUCGAAGACGAAUCAGAUACCGUCGUAGUCUUAACCAUAAACUAUGCCGACUAGGGAUCGGAUGAUGUUAAUUUUUAAUGACUCAUUCGGCGCCUU